UACGGAGGGUGCAAGCGUUGUCCGGAAUCACUGGGCGUAAAGGGCGCGUAGGUGGUGCAGUAAGUCAACGGUGAAAGUUCGGGGCUCAACCCUGAAUCGGCCGUCGAUACUCCUGGGCUCGAGCACUGUAGAGGCAGAUGGAAUUCCGGGUGUAGCGGUGGAAUGCGUAGAGAUCCGGAAGAACACCGGUGGCGAAGGCGGUCUGCUGGGCAGUUGCUGACACUGAGGCGCGACAGCGUGGGGAGCAAACAGG
rnacentral:rRNA from 1 species